AGAGAAUUCUUUAAAACUGACCAUAGCUACGUGACAGGUACAGGUAUAUGAAUUUACGAUAGCUGGUUUUCCCCAAGUACUACACUUUCUAUGUUUAGUUCAGUUAAAUAUUCGACCGUUCAAAAAGUUUUAGUUAACCUCAAUAAGUUUUUCGCUAACUAAUCAACCUACAAAUACAAGCAGGGAGAUGAUAAUUGAAAUUAAAAAGGCGAGAUAUAAUCACAUGAAUUGUUGUAUAGAUUAUGUUCAAAGGAGAAAAUUAUCAAUAUAUGUUUAAAGUGAUGUGAGAUUAUUACUACACGAAAUUUGGCGAUAAAAGAGGUAUGUAAUGAAUAGUAUGUUAUGAGAGGUAAUAACGAUUAGACGAAUUUUCUAUACAUCAUAUUUAAUGGAAUAAUUUAAUAAAUAUAACGAUAAUUAAUAGAUGCUUCGAUGAACUCGUUAAGUGAUUAAUCAAUCUCAAUUGACAGAUUGAUUAAUUAGAUUAAAUGAUCCAAUGAAUUUUUGUAUAGGUUAUGUUUAACAGAAGGUUGCGAAAUUGUUGAACAUACUGUUAAAUUAUUUUCACGAUAUUUGGCAACGCAAGAGAUAAUAAGUAGCGCGUUAUGGGAGUCAUGAUGACGAUCAGGGUGGUCCUCUCUCACGGUUCGAGAAACCGCGUUCUGGAACCGAUGUAUACACGGUGCACGCGUCGUCAACGGGGACGUCUACGUCGCGUCGUGGAUGCCGCGCUGCCAGAAAGAAAGUCGACUCGAAAAUCAAACAAACAGCCGACGACGCCGCGUUUCUGCACUUCCGUCGUCGCCGUUUGUUUAUUGUCGCUGAGGGAUCGCUGCCCUGGUGAUCCGUGUACCGUUUAAUGCCGCGUUUCACACAUUAUGUAAUUGUUUCACGCGCCAGUUACAUCCAAAAUCAUUUAUUCAAUUGAAACAGUUAUCUUCGAUAAUGUUAACGGUAUUAUCUUCUUUGAAUCAUCUUCUACUUAAUCCCGUUCUUCUUUAUUAUUAUUAACGAAGAAAAUUAAUAAUAGUAUAGCUCGAUGAAGUUUGAUAAGGAUGGAACAGAUUUCACGAGAUUUGCUUCGUAUGUUAAAUUUUGAAUCUGUUUUUAGAAAGAUAAUAUCGAUGGAAGAAUUCGAUAAGCAAGUAUUUUUUAAAGAAGAUGGUAAAAAAGCGAAGAAGAGAUUAGGCUGUAAAGAGAAGAAAUCGUGAAACGUCGAUUCUUUACAGCCCUGUAAGACGGACCUAAUGAAACGUAAUUCAUUCCCAUGCACCUUGAGGAGACAUCGUCUGGCGAACACAUGUCCCCAUUGGAUUUUAUCCAUUAGGAAAAAGUGCGCCCUUCGUCGCAUGACAUUGGCCGCCGUCGAACAUUGAAACUCGAACUCGCUAAUUCUCCAGAUGCUGGCUCGACUCAAAGGGUUAUUAAACAUAUUUUUAUGUUCGUGUCAAUGGAAAUAUUUAGACCCCCAGGGCGCCAUCUCAGCGUCAAGUGAGACUAAAAUUAUAUAUCUUAAUUUAAUUAGUAGCAACCUGUACAAUAUACUAUACUACAAUAUACCUAUUUUGUAAUGAGAAUUUGUUAAGAAAGAGAUUCAACAAUUCAAAAGCAUUUUCCUAUAAAUAGAUGAGUAUUAUUAAUAAUAUAAUGAAGAAUAUUUAUGUAAUCUUUCGUGUAUUUGUUAAUGGAAUAUAAAUCUAAUUUUUAACAGAGUUAUCCUGCUACGGAGAAAAUGGAUAGCCGUCGGCUAGACAAAUUGAGGAAAACAGUUGUCUGAUAGUCACAUCUGUUCCCGGAUUAUGAGCACGAUAAAUUUCAGCCUGUGAAGCUAACAGCCGGAUUAGCGAGCGUUGUCGCGGUGUCAACGAGAGUCAAGUAUAAGAAGUACGAUCUUUUGAGAACGUCGAUGUCGCAAGAAGACCGGAAAUGAAAGAAAACAGUGGGUACUGUUCGCAAACAGAGAAGCUCGUCAAGAGUCCCUGGACUUAUUGUCUUCGUUGUUCUGCCACGGCUACCUAACGUGCAUGUGCGGAUUCUACGAUUUUUUUGAAUCGAACAAGAGGUCAGAGGUGACCACUGGAUGGACUCCGGAUUGAAUUUCCGAAUCAACGUCUUCGAGGAGGUAUUAGCCCCACGUGAAUACCGUGGUCCCCGAUGUCGAGGUCGUGAAUUGGAAAAAAAAGGGCCUCACGGAUCGUUGUGGCCUGGUUGGGCCUCUGGAAUCCUCAGUGGGGGUCCCACGGAUGGGUUCUUUCGUUUUUCUUUCGAUCCCGGAGGAAUCAUUGUCGUUUCCUCCACUCAACGCUUUCUUUCAACGUUUUCUCAUAUCUCCAGUCUUUUUCAUAUCGAGCAAGUAUUUCCUAACAUAAUUGAUUAACAAUUGCUAUAACCUACAUAUAUCUAAUACAGGGUGAACGAUAUAUAGCUGACUAAUUUCAAAGUCCCAUCAUUCCGGAACGAUGUAUCAUUUUUUGUGCCGCACUAGAAAUUAUGUUAUGGAUGCAUGGCAAAGUAAACAAGAAGCCAUCCAUCAAGGAUGUACACAGUUCUGAUGACAUCACACUUGAUAUAUUGGAAACAAAUAUGAAGUGGCAUUGCAAUUUUACGAAACGAAUUUAUAUUUAAUAAAAGCAAUGAAGAAAUGUAUAUAAUAUAUAUAUAGAAUAGGCUUCUAUU